rnacentral:rRNA from 1 species
GCAGCAUUUUAGUUUGCUUGCAAACUAAAGAUGGCGACCGGCGCACGGGUGAGUAACACGUAUCCAACCUGCCGAUAACUCGGGGAUAGCCUUUCGAAAGAAAGAUUAAUAUCCGAUAGUAUAUUAAAACCGCAUGGUUUUACUAUUAAAGAAUUUCGGUUAUCGAUGGGGAUGCGUUCCAUUAGUUUGUUGGCGGGGUAACGGCCCACCAAGACUACGAUGGAUAGGGGUUCUGAGAGGAAGGUCCCCCACAUUGGAACUGAGACACGGUCCAAACUCCUACGGGAGGCAGCAGUGAGGAAUAUUGGUCAAUGGACGAGAGUCUGAACCAGCCAAGUAGCGUGAAGGAUGACUGCCCUAUGGGUUGUAAACUUCUUUUAUAUGGGAAUAAAGUAUUCCACGUGUGGAAUUUUGUAUGUACCAUAUGAAUAAGGAUCGGCUAACUCCGUGCCAGCAGCCGCGGUAAUACGGAGGAUCCGAGCGUUAUCCGGAUUUAUUGGGUUUAAAGGGAGCGUAGGUGGAUUGUUAAGUCAGUUGUGAA